rnacentral:rRNA from 1 species
UGAGGAAUAUUGGUCAAUGGGCGAGAGCCUGAACCAGCCAAGUAGCGUGAAGGAUGACUGCCCUAUGGGUUGUAAACUUCUUUUAUAAAGGAAUAAAGUCGGGUAUGGAUACCCGUUUGCAUGUACUUUAUGAAUAAGGAUCGGCUAACUCCGUGCCAGCAGCCGCGGUAAUACGGAGGAUCCGAGCGUUAUCCGGAUUUAUUGGGUUUAAAGGGAGCGUAGAUGGAUGUUUAAGUCAGUUGUGAAAGUUUGCGGCUCAACCGUAAAAUUGCAGUUGAUACUGGAUAUCUUGAGUGCAGUUGAGGCAGGCGGAAUUCGUGGUGUAGCGGUGAAAUGCUUAGAUAUCACGAAGAACUCCGAUUGCGAAGGCAGCCUGCUAAGCUGCAACUGACAUUGAGGCUCGAAAGUGUGGGUAUCAAACAGGAUUAGAUACCCUGGUAGUCCACACGGUAAACGAUGAAUACUCGCUGUUUGCGAUAUACAGCAAGCGGCCAAGCGAAAGCGUUAAGUAUUCCACCUGGGGAGUACGCCGGCAACGGUGAAACUCAAAGGAAUUGACGGGGGCCCGCACAAGCGGAGGAACAUGUGGUUUAAUUCGAUGAUACGCGAGGAACCUUACCCGGGCUUAAAUUGCAGAUGAAUUACGGUGAAAGCCGUAAGCCGCAAGGCAUCUGUGAAGGUGCUGCAUGGUUGUCGUCAGCUCGUGCCGUGAGGUGUCGGCUUAAGUGCCAUAACGAGCGCAACCCUUGUUGUCAGUUACUAACAGGUUUCGCUGAGGACUCUGACAAGACUGCCAUCGUAAGAUGUGAGGAAGGUGGGGAUGACGUCAAAUCAGCACGGCCCUUACGUCCGGGGCUACACACGUGUUACAAUGGGGGGUACAGAGGGCCGCUACCACGCGAGUGGAUGCCAAUCCCCAAAACCUCUCUCAGUUCGGACUGGAGUCUGCAACCCGACUCCACGAAGCUGGAUUCGCUAGUAAUCGCGCAUCAGCCACGGCGCGGUGAAUACGUUCCC